GUUCUCUUAUGAGGCCGGUCAUCGGAAUGGGUACAAUUUAAACCCUUUAACGAGUAUCUAUGAGAGGGCAAGUCUGGUGCCAGCAGCCGCGGUAAUUCCAGCUCUCAAAGUGCAUAGAAUUAUUGCUGCGGUUAAAAAGCUCGUAGUUGGAUCUGUGCCAUAGGACGUGGUCCACCUUCGGGUGCGUACUACGCUCCUAGGCUUUUUGCUGGUUUUCCCGUCGUAGCCUUCACUGGUUGCGGCGGGUGGCUGGCGAGUUUACUUUGAGAAAAUCAGAGUGCUCAAUACAGGCGUAUCGCUUGAAUGAUUGUGCAUGGAAUAAUAGAAAAGGAUUUCGGUCCUCUUUUAUUGGUUUUGUGGACUGAGAUAAUGGUUAACAGGGACAAACGGGGGCAUUCGUAUCUCUGCGUGAGAGGUGAAAUUCUUGGACCGUAGAGAGACGCCCUACUGCGAAAGCAUUUGCCAAGAAUGUCUUCAUUAAUCAAGAACGAAAGUCAGAGGUUCGAAGGCGAUCAGAUACCGCCCUAGUUCUGACCGUAAACGAUGCCAACUAGCGAUCCGCCGGUGGAUUUUUAGCCCUGGUGGGUAGCUUCCCGGAAACGAAAGUCUUCCGGUUCCGGGGGAAGUAUGGUUGCAAAGCUGAAACUUAAAGGAAUUGACGGAAGGGCACCACCAGGAGUGGAGCCUGCGGCUUAAUUUGACCCAACACGGGGAAACUCACCCGGCCCGGACACCGUAAGGAUUGACAGAUUGAUAGCUCUUUCAUGAUUCGGUGGUUGGUGGUGCAUGGCCGUUCUUAGUUCGUGGAUCGAUUUGUCUGGUUUAUUCCGAUAACGAGCGAGACUCUAGCCUACUAAAUAGUAACGAGAUUAUCAAUGUCUCAGUUGCUUCUUAGAGGGAUUUUCGGUGUUUAGCCGCACGAGAUUGAGCAAUAACAGGUCUGUGAUGCCCUUAGAUGUCCGGGGCUGCACGCGCGCUACACUGGCGAAAUCAGCGUGCUGUAUCCAUUCUCGAAAGGGAUUGGUAAACCCAUGAAAAUUUGCCGUGCUUGGGAUCGGAAAUUGCAAUUAUUUUCCGUGAACGAGGAAUUCCAAGUAAGUGCGAGUCAUCAACUCGCUCUGAUUACGUCCCUGCCCUUUGUACACACCGCCCGUCGCUGCCCGGGACUGAGCCAUUUCGAGAAGAUCAGGGACUGGUGGACUGUGGCCUUUUCGGAGGUCCGGUUCGCUGGAAACUGAUUUGAUCGCAGUGGCUUGAACCGGGCAAAAGUCGUAACAAGGUAGCCGUAGGUGAACCUGCGGCUG
rnacentral:rRNA from 1 species